GACCGGCGCACGGGUGAGUAACGCGUAUGCAACCUGCCCUUCACAGGGGGAUAACCGGGAGAAAUUCCGACUAAUACCGCAUACGUCCUCCGGGGGCAUCCCCGGGGGAUGAAAGAAUUAUCGGUGAAGGAUGGGCAUGCGUGAUAUUAGGUAGUUGGCGGGGCAACGGCCCACCAAGCCUACGAUAUCUAGGGGUUCUGAGAGGAAGGUCCCCCACAUUGGUACUGAGACACGGACCAAACUCCUACGGGAGGCAGCAGUGAGGAAUAUUGGUCAAUGGACGAGAGUCUGAACCAGCCAAGUCGCGUGAAGGAAGACGGAUCUAUGGUUUGUAAACUUCUUUAGUGCGGGAACAAAGCGGUGUCGUGACACCGGAUGAGUGUACCGCAAGAAUAAGCAUCGGCUAACUCCGUGCCAGCAGCCGCGGUAAUACGGAGAAUGCGAGCGUUAUCCGGAUUUAUUGGGUUUAAAGGGAGCGCAGGCUGCGAGGCAAGUCAGCGGUCAAAUGUCGGGGCUCAACCCCGGCCUGCCGUUGAAACUGUCCUGCUAGAGUUCGAGUGAGGUAUGCGGAAUGCGUUGUGUAGCGGUGAAAUGCAUAGAUAUGACGCAGAACUCCGAUUGCGAAGGCAGCAUACCAA
rnacentral:rRNA from 1 species